UUAUCCAGAAUGAUCAUUAUUCAGAGCGACGUGAAAGGCCUACUUUUGUCAAACCCCCAGCGUCUAUUGUGCAGUGACUACCGUGAUUAUCUCUUGGUUAUCCGCGUAAAAGCUCUUCAGGUGGCCGUUAUCAGGAAUGAAAGCUGCAGGUGUUAUCGUGUUGACUUUGGCCUUUAUUCACUCAGGCCACUGCUUCUUCAAGUGCUACAUGGGAAUCCAAGGGGAGACUACAGAAAAGGUCUGCGAUGACGGGGUCACCAAUUGUGUAAAAAUGGACAUACGUUUCAUCGACCAGAGAAUGAUCGUCUACGGCUGCGGUGCGACCGACCUCCCGAGCGAUGGGUGCAGCACGAGAGCAGACGACCGGGGGUCUGUCAUCACCUGCUUUUGCAAGACAGAGCUCUGCAACAGCGCGUGCGCAAAGACGCUGUCCGUCCCUCUCCUUCUCGCAGUCCUCGUCUGGAAGGUGCUCGUCCAGUAGGAGGACCUCCCGUGACGCGUCCUGGGCUGGAAGACGUCCUUAUUCCAUUGGUAGCUUCGUCUCGUUUAGCCGCGGCGCACGCUGACUGCGAGUCAGUUGGCAAGCGUGAAAUGAAUUCACGUACCAGUGGAACUUUAAUCUGCUAUAUUGUUCACGCACAAUAAAGACUUCAAAUAAA